GGCGUGGCCCGACCGGCCGGAAAGGCCUGAGCCCGGCGGCAGCGGGGCGGGCGCCGGCCGAGGUUCUUUCCCCCAUCCCCUUGGUGGAGGGGAAGGGGCAGCCGAAAGCGGAGCCCUGCACUCACCUCCCAGCCACGGGAGGACCCCUCCGCCCGAAAGGUCUGAGCCAGGGAUGUUACCGGCAACGCUGCGGCACGGGGGAGCAUCCAGCACCCGGGCUGCGAAGGGGACACGUCCGAGCGCCUGUCCGGAGCUUACAAGGAAAGAAAGAGAGCAAGAAAGAAAGAAAGAAGAGGAAGCAUUUUUGAAAUGCGAUCUUCCUGCUGCCGCUGCCCUCAGAGUGGGCGCAGAGUUUCUUUCCCUGGGCGCUGAGGUGGGCGUGCAGCAGCCCCAGGCUGUGCAGCACAGGGCUCGGCACCGCGGGAUGAGCCCAGCCCGCGCUCCAGCCCGGGCCAUCUCCGGGCUCUGGAGAGGGCCCACGACAUCACCAGGAAGGUUCUCCAGAGCGCAGGCAGCUGAACGAGGUCGAUCCUGUGGGUGACGGAGGGGUCCCUUUGCGCAAGGACCGCGCUGCUGUGCUGGCCAGGCCCUAUCCCACGCUCUCCUGUGCAGAGGUUUGGCUGUCUCCAGCACGGAUUUCCCCCUGGUCACGUUCGCCCACAAGACUCGGACAAGGCAGCUGGGCAAGAGCCGAGAUCGGCAGUCCUGCUGGACAGCCCGUGGCUCCUCGGGGCUGCAGCCGGGCUCCAUGUGCUGCUGGGGCUGGGCUGCACCCUGUGCCCCCUGCACAGGGCUCUCCUCGGCACCAGCAUUUUGGUUCUCAGUCACAUCCACAGCCAGGUCUGGGUUUGCUGCUGAGGGCCGAGCAGCCCCCGGUCCUCCCCCACCGCCUCCCGUCCUUCCCAGCACAGCGGCCGUACACAGCUGCCUUCGUCCCGCUGGGGCAGCCUUGCCCCAUUUCCAACCAAACUGUCAGCUUUACAAUCCACUCCCUGGGUGUUGUGAAACACCGUUAGGAGGGGAGGGUUCUGGCGGCCAGGCAGGGCAAAGGUCUCUGUGCUCCGGUGCUGCACGACCUGUGCUGCUCAGGGCACCCCGAGGGGCAGCUUUCACCCCAGCGCCCUGCCGGGCUGGUGGGCAGCAGCCUCCCGCAGGACCCUCGCUGGCCUCCACGGCUGGCAUGGGCAGGAGGGAGCUGCGGGGUGAGAUCAGACCCAAUUUCCUUCUGAUUACGUUUGAAACCUCUUAAAAGACAUCACCCUCAUAGACUAGUGAGGCUUGGCCUGCCCGCACUCACCCUCAGUGUGCCCAUGCAGUCAGAGCUGUCUAUUUUUGUAGUUCAAUAUUUAUAUACUCUAUUAAAAUGCUUUAUGAGAUUCACAGCAGCAGUCACCAAGCCAGCUUUUUGGUAAAAACGAACCCCAAAGCAUAUGAGCUGUGCUAGCAGGGCAGAAAUUAGCUGUUCCUGUACCUUUUCUUUGGCUGUUAUGUGACUAGUCAGGCUUUCGAGGGCAAGACCCCUCUCCCUGAGGGUUGGGACUCCCCAGCUGCUUUUGUGGUCCCUAACACAUCCCUGGGUUUGGGAAAGAGCCCAGCAAAGCCACACUGGGCAGGGUCCCCCUCACAGGGCUCAGGCAGGAGCCUGGCUUGAAGCUGGGCCAAGGUGUACACCUCCUGGGGCAAGAAAGCUCUAGUGGGAAAUUUUUGCAGCCCCUGAGGUAUCUGGAGCUGCUGCCUCAGGAGCUCAGAGCCCCCACGAGCCCCCAGCUGUCCUCCCAGACUGUCACAGCCGUGGGAGGCUGCAGGGAGCCCUGGCAGGGGCUGCGGCUGCAGAGCUCCACGUGCCCAGGUCACUUGUGCAGGUUUGGCAGGUGCAGGGCAGCACGAGGAGCUCUGGUAAUGCCCCUCUGGGCUCUGAGCACCAGGAGCAUGAGGGGGAAAAGCCCUGAGCUCCUCGGCAGGGCUGCAGAGUGCUCCCUGCCUGUUUGCCUCUGCACAGUGAUCCAGGCAGGCUCUGCCAGGCUCCAGCUCCGGGGUGAGCUGGGUGUGCGGGGCCCUGCUGUCACCCACGCACGGGACAGCGAGGGGAGGUUUGUCUUGUGUUGCAUGAGCAGCCUCAGGGCUCCAGCAUCACAGUUCUGGGAGUGUCGUGCCCAUGAGGUGCUCUUGGCCUCUGGAAAUCACUGUUUCCGUCAGGUUCUGAGAGAUUCUGCUGUGGACUUGUGUCUCCUCUGUCAGGGUGAAAGAGGUGAUGCCGGUCCCUGUGUGCUUGGCUGUUGCUGCAGCUGUGGUGUGCACAGCUGUUUCCCAUCCUUCCUAGACAAUCCUGAUAGACACAGUAUGUCGCAUUUUUAUUACAAACUCCUUCGUGAGAUCAUGGCGUUUAUGACUGACCCAAGCAUUGAAAAGCGGACGGAGAAGUAUGAUCCUUCUCCUGUGUAAAUACCUUCCUAGCAAUCAUCAUCCGUAGUGCCUAGUAUGUAAAUGAAGCAACCCUGUCUGAGCUGCAGGGCCCUUUCCUCUCCGCCGGUAAUCAGCAGCUUGCUCAAGGAGUUGAUGUCAUUCCCAGUCCCCCGUGCCUGUCCCUCCCCGGGUGCUCCUGGUGCAGGCAGGGAGCUGGGCAGGUCCGGAGCCCCGCGGCCGGGCAGGCAGAGCCGCCUGCAGUGAGGGGGGGCUCCCAAAGGGAUGGAGGGCCAGCACCCCAGUUCCCCCCUUCAUGCCAAUGUAAUGUGCUUGGAAAUGACUUGUCAGGGUGAGCCCUGCGCUUUUCCUUUGGCACAUUUGCCUUGGAGCAGGAAGGAUCAGCUCCUGCGUGCUGUACCUGCUUCAGUCACUGCUGCUUAUCUUGAGGGGGAGGGAAGCUCUAGCGAUAUUAUAUAUACACUUAUAUAUAUAUAUAUAUACACACAUACAUGCACUUGUUUUGAAGGGAAAACACUGUAUGAUUGUAAUAGAAAUAGUGUUGAGAUAAAUUAUUUUAAUCUUUGUAUUUAUAUAAAAUGAUCAAAGAGAUCAAAAUUAUAUUAAAAAAAAAUCAAAAAGACAGUAUUCCUAUUUUUUACUGAGAAGGCUGCUGGAGCCACCGGGAGCCUGAGAGCCACUGGGGCCCAGGCAGGGCCCGUCCUCCCCUCCUGGAGUGGGGGGCUCUCACAGACCCCCCAUGACACUGUAAGCUAGCCCUUAGCCCGUAAGAUGUGACAGGGAUCUGUAGGUGCAUUUAGUCCGUGCUCUGCACUCCUCGGGAGUCCAAAGGGCACACACCGCUUCGACCUGCGCUGUUGCACCCGAAAGCACAGACUGAGGAGUGCAGGCACCAACACCAACGUGCUCAGGAUGGAACGGGCAGUGUUUGAUGUUGACUUGUAAAGCUUAAUGAUUAGACUGGAAAUGGAAGCAUAGCAAUAACGCUCGGUUGUUAAACAACGUCUUGUGUGUGUAAAUCACCACGUGCUGAGAGCUGUCUACAGACACAGCCGGGCUUCUCUCCUCUGCACCCGCUUUCGCUCUGUAGCUCUGCAGAGGCUUAUGGAUUUGAUGUGCUUGGUUUGCUAAUAUCUCUUUUCCUUAUAAUUACUAUGUUGUUAUUAUUAUUAUUAUUAUUUUUCCCAAUGCUGUCCGAGAAAGUGAUGUCUCAAAUGCACCUUGCAGCAGGUGUGAGGUGAGCAGUGGAUGGGGGAAGAUGCACCCGCUGCACUCGCCAUGGCAGAGCCAGUCCUGGCAACAGGGUGCACACUCCCCUGGACUUCCUUUAACCCUGGGCAGAUUAGUCAGGAAGUUCUCCUUCUUGACCCUGCUAACUAAAAAGCCAUAUUUUGUGAAUGUGUCUGCUGGGGCUAAUCUAAGCGCUCCCAGCCGUGUCUUUCCCAUCCCCACCAGGCUCCCAGCCUUCCCGCUGCUGCAUGGCUCCGUGCUCAGUCUGAACUGGGGCCAGGCCCUGCUGGAUUCACAGGGGGAAGCUUUCUGUGAAUCACAGGCAAAGCCAGGUUCAUGGCCCAGCUGAUGGGUGCUCUGGAGGGACUGAGGGUGCUCUUUCCUAGGUGCCCAAGAGAGGUGGCAGUGACACAGCAAGAAACAUCCUGCCUGAAGUGGCUGGAGCCAGCAGUGUGAAGGGAUUGUUCUGCUCUUCCCAAGUUCUCCCCAAGUGCUCCACACUAGGAAGAACGCAGUCCCUCACGUCGCAGCAGCCCCGAUGAGCCAGUCUGGCUGUAGUGACGCCGCAGCCGCCUCGGUGCACGCCUGUUCUUGUCACCCUCUCGCACUGUCGGCGCCUGGCUGCCAAGUCCUACAGGGAACGCAACAGAUGGGAGAGAGCUCCCUUACGCCUCUGGGUUGCCUCAUGCAGGCAUCUGAGAUCUGUGGAUAAGAUCAGCAGUGCCCGAGUGCCCAGUGCCGGGCUGGGUGGGCAGGAGGAGCUCAGAUCGAUAAGCACAGCGGCUGUGGAGGAGGCUCCAGGCCUGUUAAAGCACAAGGAUCAAAGCACCGUGUCCCCUCAUCGUCAGGGCUGCCCUUUGCUCCCCAGGGCCCCGUUUCUGCCGCUGUGUCCUCCUUGGGGACACAGUGCCCUGCAGGGACGCUGCUGUCCCAGCCCCCUGAAGGGAUGGUGCCUCUGGACAGGACACGAAGGGUGACACUCGGUACUGCCACCACAUCCGAUCCCUUCAUCUCACCCUCCCUCUCCUCACAGCUUUGGGCAGGAACAGGGGAGCAAAGCUGCUGGUGUGUGAGAGGUGCACCCAACCCACACCCAAACGGUGCCCGGUCCUCCCUGACCAGGGUGUGGUUAUGCCUCCUGGCUCUUUCCGAUAGAUUUCAGUCAUCCUGCAGUUUCCAAGAAAGCUCCCCUUUCCUGUUGUUGCAAUUAUUGCAUAAAUUAGACUAUCAGGCCCUAGGAAUGCCCCAAAUCUUUGCAUGUCUGAAGCAGCAGACCCUUUCUGCCCAGGGGCUGUGGGUACAGCACUGAGCUGCAGCCCCCUCGGCCCUGCAGGGACGAGCACUGUCUGUGUGUUUCCAGGUCACUGUCACCCCAGUGGGGUGGGGACAUCACCUCUGCCUGGCCAGAGGCGUGCUGGGACCCCUGAGAGGGCUCUGGCAGAGGGAUGAGGAGGGCAGCACUUCUGGUCUCAGCUCCCCUGGUCCCGGAGCAGCUGUGGUUUCGUUGGAGAAAAAAUAUUGUCCUUGGCUGAGUUUGCGAAGCUCAGUGAGAACAAUAAACGCCUGUGCCUCGUGCUGGGGAGCGCCGCUGCAGAGGGACAGAUGCCAAAGGUUUGACACUGCUCUGCUUUAUUUGAAUGUUCAUUUUGCUACAUGUCACCAUUUUUUGCCAGGAUGAUAUUCAUGUUGACUUUGCUUUUUAACCAAGUGCUUUUCAAGAUGUGUUAACACUCAGAGACUAGAGUAUGGAGCUGUACUUUAGAAGUUGUUGUAAUAUUCCUUUUUCUUAAUAAAGAGACUGAAACCUGCAGAGGGUGGUACUGUCCUGCCCCAGAAUGCAAGACCUCCAGCCAUACACCAGAAGCAUCUCUGUCCCAUGACUGGCUCCUACCUCACUCCCCCAGAGCUCUUCCACAGCUCAGGAGAGUCCUCAGCGUGACACCCCAGUUCUUACAGGGGGCCUGUGGGUAGAUGGGGGGAUCGUUAUUGGGAUCCGGAAUGCCAGGACAAGGGGGAAUGGCUUCCUGCUGCCAGAGGGCAGGGUUGGAUGGGAUACUGGGAAAAUUUCUUCCCUGGAAGGGCAGGGAGGGCCUGGCACAGCCUGCCCAGAGAAGCUGUGGCCACUCCAUUCUCAGAAGUGUUCAAGACCAGAUUGGACAGUGGCACAGAGAAACAGGAAACAAAUUCUCCAAUCCGUUGGUUCAGUUAGAAAGUUUCCAUUAUUCAGCGCUGGGUACAUGGGGGUACAUUGUUCCACCCAACAUGAAUGGCAAUUAUCAAAACUUUUAACAUUUCAUGCAUUUUAGCAAACAAAGGAAUUAGUGUUCCUUGGCUACAAGUUACAUAGUUCUCUUAUUAAUUAGUAUUCUCUCUUGGUUAAUGAUUCUCCACUUCCCAUGCUGAUUAGCCUUUCUCUUCCUUUCGGGCGGUCGAUUUCUAGCAUCAGUGGUCUGUGGGUUGAUGGCCACAGGCCCUCCCCUGCCAGAAUUACCUUUUACCUAUUUGGAGCUGAUUUCAGCACAAUCACUGAGUUAAGUCUUAUUAGUUAUUCCUUAUCUUGGGAGUCCAGCUGAAUAUCCUUGUGGCCCAUAAAUUCUGCACUCUUUGUGUCCAUUAUUAGUGACAACAUCCUUCCUUCCAAGCUAUGUUAACCUCCUCCCCCAGGUCUUAGAUCGCUGAAUCAUGUCAAGCCCUAAAUUUUGUUUUUCUAACACAUGGACGUCACUUACAGCUUGCUUGUUAGCUACUAUCUGUUUUGUGAAUUAAAUAUCCCUUCUUGUUAAUUAGGCUUGAAAGUUGCAAAGAUAAAACAUUAAAGAACACACUUUCAUAAGAAA